CUGGUGCAGCGGCAGCGUCGGGGGUUCCAGCACCAGCCCCACGGGGCCUGCAACCUCUGCAGGCAGAGACAGCCAGUCGGGCCAGUGAGCACCCAGGCAACGCCAGCAGGAAGCCCUUGACAGCAUCGUACAAGGCGGUGCGGUCCCAGUGCUCCACAUCACUCAGGGACCAGUCUGCAGGGAGCCCCUGCCCCACAGCCAGGCUGGACCUCACCUGCUUGCUCGAUGGUCUCUACCAGCUUCACCAGAAUCGGGGGAGCAGGGUCAGGUGGGGAGAACUGCUCUGCCAGAUCUGCCAGUACGUGGCCUGGAAGGAAGGGACAGGGUGUGAACCCUCAGCCGUCAAGACUGCGUAGCACCCAGCUUGGGAACCCAGGGCACAGGGGGCACUGGGAGUUAUUUCUGAAGUUCACCACAAGGAAUCUGCAAGCCCAGGGACAGUGGGGGACACGAUGGAUGGCAAAAGCCAAGUGCAAGGAGUGGGAGUGGACAUCCAGCACUCUGGGGCUGAAGGCAGGAUGGCGGCCAGUUCCAGGCCACCCUGGGUUACAGACAGCCUGUCUCCAAAAGCAAAAGAGGUGGCGGUGUGGACAACUUCGGCAUGAGGCUGGAACCGGCGGAGGAGCACGCACUAGCCUCUUCACCACAAAUGCCUGGCCUCUGCAAACACGGCUGCACCUACGUGGGUUCACAAGGAUGCACGCGGCAGGGAGCAGAGGCCAUGCAGACUUUGGCUCUAUUGUGGUCGGCUGUGCAGCCCUGACCUCAGGGGUCACCAUCGCUGGGCCUUACACUUCAAAGAAAAUCACCAGAUUGUAGUACCUUUUUGUUUUGGAUUUUGAGACAGGGUCUCAGUAUACAGAUCAUUCAAGAUACUCCGGGCUCUGCCUCCUAGAGUGCUGGGUGUAAAGGCCUGGGCCACCGAGUCUAA